AUUGAACGCUGGCGGCAGGCCUAACACAUGCAAGUCGAGCGGCAGCGGGAAAGUAGCUUGCUACUUUUGCCGGCGAGCGGCGGACGGGUGAGUAAUGCCUGGGAAAUUGCCCAGUCGAGGGGGAUAACAGUUGGAAACGACUGCUAAUACCGCAUACGCCCUACGGGGGAAAGCAGGGGACCUUCGGGCCUUGCGCGAUUGGAUAUGCCCAGGUGGGAUUAGCUAGUUGGUGAGGUAAUGGCUCACCAAGGCGACGAUCCCUAGCUGGUCUGAGAGGAUGAUCAGCCACACUGGAACGGGGACACGGUCCAGACUCCUACGGGAGGCAGCAGUGGGGAAUAUUGCACAAUGGGGGAAACCCUGAUGCAGCCAUGCCGCGUGUGUGAAGAAGGCCUUCGGGUUGUAAAGCACUUUCAGCGAGGAGGAAAGGUUGAUGCCUAAUACGUAUCAACUGUGACGUUACUCGCAGAAGAAGCACCGGCUAACUCCGUGCCAGCAGCCGCCGUAAUAC
rnacentral:rRNA from 1 species